rnacentral:rRNA from 1 species
AAAUAGGCAAUCCGUUGUAUAAUCCGAAGACGUGAUGUGGAGCGAAAUAAAGUAGUGAAGCGUGUGAGCCAUGUGCCGAGAAAAGCUGCUAUUGUGUAAUGCGUGCCCGUACCGUAAACCGACACAGGUGGAUGAGGAGAGAAUCCUAAGGCCGACGGAAGAAGCAUUGUUAAGGAAUUCGGCAAAAUGACCCCGUAACUUCGGGAGAAGGGGUGCCUGCGAGAGCAGGCCGCAGAGAAUAGGCUCAAGCAACUGUUUAGCAAAAACACAGGUCUAUGCGAAACCGAAAGGUGAAGUAUAUGGGCUGACGCCUGCCCGGUGCUGGAAGGUUAAGAGGAGAGGUUAGCGUAAGCGAAGCCUUGAAUUUAAGCCCCAGUAAACGGCGGCCGUAACAAUAACGGUCCUAAGGUAGCGAAAUUCCUUGUCGGGUAAGUUCCGACCCGCACGAAAGGCGUAAUGAUUUGAGCACUGUCUCGACAAUGCAUCCGGUGAAAUUGAAGUACCAGUGAAGAUGCUGGUUACCCGCGCCAGGACGGAAAGACCCCAUGGAGCUUUACUCCAGUUUGAUACUGGGAUUCGGUACUGCAUGUACAGGAUAGCUGGGAGACGAAGAAGGAUGGACGCCAGUCUGUCCGGAGUCGCUGUUGGGAUACCACCCCUGUAGUACUGGGUUUCUAACCAGUUGCCAUGAACUGGCAAUGGGACAAUGUCAGGCGGGGAGUUUGACUGGGGCGGUCGCCUCCGAAAGGGUAUCGGAGGCGCUCAAAGGUUCCCUCAGAAUGGUUGGAAACCAUUUGAAGAGUGCAAAGGCAGAAGGGAGCUUGACUGCGACACCGACGGGUGGAGCAGGUACGAAAGUAGGACUUAGUGAUCCGGUGGUAUAAAGUGGGAUUGCCAUCGCUCAACGGAUAAAAGCUACCCUGGGAUAACAGGCUUAUCACUCCCAAGAGUUCACAUCGACGGAGUGGUUUGGCACCUCGAUGUCGGCUCAUCGCAUCCUGGGGCUGUAGCAGGUCCCAAGGGUUGGGCUGUUCGCCCAUUAAAGCGGUACGCGAGCUGGGUUCAGAACGUCGUGAGACAGUUCGGUCCCUAUCCGGCGCGGGCGGAGGAUAUUUGAGAGGAGCUGUCCUUAGUACGAGAGGACCGGGAUGGACGGACCACUGGUGUAUCUGUUGUCGACCAACGGCAUGGCAGAGUAGCCAAGUCUGGAAGGGAUAAACGCUGAAGGCAUCUAAGCGUGAAGCCCCCCUCAAGAUGAGAUAUCCCUCCUUCGGGAGUAAGACCCCUUGAAGACUACAAGGUAGAUAGGGCAGAGGUGGAAGCAUGGCAACAUGUGGAGCUGACUGUUACUAAUAGGUCGAGGGCUUAGU